GACGAACGCUGGCGGCGUGCCUAACACAUGCAAGUCGAACGGAGCUAAUUAGAGGAAGUUUUCGGAUGGAAUUGGUUUAGCUUAGUGGCGGACGGGUGAGUAACACGUGAGCAACCUGCCUUUCAGAGGGGGAUAACGUUUGGAAACGAACGCUAAUACCGCAUAACGUACCGAUAGGGCAUCCUAAUGGUACCAAAGGAGCAAUCCGCUGAAAGAUGGGCUCGCGUCCGAUUAGAUAGUUGGUGAGGUAACGGCCCACCAAGUCUGCGAUCGGUAGCCGGACUGAGAGGUUGAACGGCCACAUUGGGGACUGAGACACGGGCCCAGACUCCUACGGGAGGCAGCAGUGGGGGAUAUUGCACAAUGGGGGAAACCCUGAUGCAGCGACGUCGCGUGAGGGAAGAC
rnacentral:rRNA from 1 species